rnacentral:rRNA from 1 species
AGGCAAAUCCCAGAAACAGCGUCCCAGUUCGGACUGCAGCCUGCAACCCGGCUGCACGAAGCCGGAAUCGCUAGUAAUCGCGGAUCAGAAUGCCGCGGUGAAUACGUUCCCGGGUCUUGUACACACCGCCCGUCACACCAUGGGAGUCGGAAAUGCCCGAAGUCAGUGACCCAACCAUUUGGAGGGAGCUGCCGAAGGCAGGUCCGGUAACUGGGGUGAAGUCGUAACAAGGUACC